GACGAACGCUGGCGGCGUGCUUAACACAUGCAAGUCGAACGGAAAGGCCCUGCUUUUGUGGGGUGCUCGAGUGGCGAACGGGUGAGUAACACGUGAGUAACCUGCCCUUGACUUUGGGAUAACUUCAGGAAACUGGGGCUAAUACCGGAUAGGAGCUCCUGCUGCAUGGUGGGGGUUGGAAAGUUUCGGCGGUUGGGGAUGGACUCGCGGCUUAUCAGCUUGUUGGUGGGGUAGUGGCUUACCAAGGCUUUGACGGGUAGCCGGCCUGAGAGGGUGACCGGCCCAAAUGGGACUGAGGUACGGCCCAGACUCCUACGGGGGGCAACAGGUGGGAAUAUUGCACAAUGGGCGGAAGCCUGAUGCAGCAACGCCGCGUGCGGGAUGACGGCCUUCGGGUUGUAAACCGCUUUCGCCUGUGACGAAGCGUGAGUGACGGUAAUGGGUAAAGAAGCACCGGCUAACUACGUG
rnacentral:rRNA from 1 species